rnacentral:lncRNA from 1 species
UCAGAUCCAGACGACUUUUGGCCUGAUCUUCGUGCUACGUUCUCUGGAAGAUCUCACGCUCAUAGUCCUGUUCUGAACUAUCCAGAGGACAGGGAACAAGCCUUAGCCUUAAGCAGCACCAAAUCUACCAUUGGAGCCGUCCCGACCGCUCUGCUCAUCUCCACCAUCUUCACCUUCCUAAUGGCUGCCAUCGUAGCUGUUUGGUACUUCAAAACGUAAGUGAUGAGCUUUGAAUCAGACUUGAAUUAGAUAAAUGUGCAUUAGUAUCUCUGAUACUGUGGGGAAGUUUCUCAGACAGGGAUUAAACCAAGUGUUAGACUAUACUUUCCUUCACUGGAAAAACUCAAUUUAAAAUUCUGUGCAGUCCCCAUUCAAGGGCCCCAUUUUAGCAAUCUUUAGGCAUGUCAGUGUGUCUUUGCUAUCGUAACGAUGGGAAAAGUACACAUUACGCGGCUCGAAACACUUAAAAGGCAUGUACUUAUUCUCUUAAUUAAUCAUGGAUGUGAUUAAUUAACGUGAAAUAAACCAAUCAGUGCAUCGCCUGCA